AAUAGAAGUUAUAAGGGUAUAUGGUGGAUGCCUUGGCAUGGAAAGGCGAUGAAGGACGCGGUAUGACUGCGAUAAGCUUCGGGGAGACGUCAAACAGUCUUUGAUCCGAAGAUUUCCGAAUGGGGAAACCCCUCAAGGCUCAAAACCUUGAGAGCUCCUUGUUUAACUACUUGGAGUAGCGAACCCGCUGAAGUGAAACCUCUCAGUAAGCGGAGGAAAAGAGAAAAUAAUUUAUUCCCUUAGUAGCGGCGAGCGAAGAGGGAAAAGCCCAAACCUGCGGACAUCACAUUGCAUGUGAUGUCGCGAGUUAAAAGUCCAAAGUUAAAAGUUUAAAGUGAAUUCAGAAAUGCAUUUACUUUUUACAUUUAACUUUUGGGGUUGCAGGGCAGAUGCGUUGUAGAGUUACAAAUUGUGAAGUUAGCUGAACUUCUCUGGAAAGAGAGGCCAUAGCGAGUGAUAGCCUCGUAAGCGAAAAUUUCACAGCUCGAGCAUUUGUUCCUAAGUACUGCGGGGAAUGAAAGCCCUGUAGGAAGCUUCCAAUACUACUUGGAAAGGCUAAAUACUAAUCCAUGACCGAUAGUGAACUAGUACCGUGAGGGAAAGGUGAAAAGCAGCCCGGCGAGGGCGAUGAAAUAAACCUGAAACCAUAUACUUACAAGGAAUCGGAGCCUGCGCAUAGCACAGAAUAUCUAAUUUCAAAUUUUCAAUUCUUAAAUAAUUUCUAAUUUUCUAAUUUUUAAAAACUCAGAAUCAAAUUUUGAGUUUUGGAAAUUUAGUCAUUGGAUUUUGUUUGGAAAUUAAAAAUUAAGAAUUGGAAAUUCCGCGCUGUGUGUGGGUGACGGUGUGCCUCUUGGAGAAUGAGCCAACGACUUUAUGUAUGUCGCUUGUCUAAUCCGCCUUGGCGGAGUAGGCGCAGGGAAACCGAGUCUGAAUAGGGCGAACGCGCAUAGCACAGAAUGUCUAAUUUUAAAUGUUUAAUUCUUAAAUAAUUUUUAAUUUCUUAAUUUUUGAAAAUUCAGAAUCAAGUUUUGAUUUUUAGAAAUUUAGUCAGCGAGAUUUAUUUGGAAAUUAGGAUUUGGAAAUUGGGAAUUCCGCGCUGUGCGCGGUAGGCGGCAUGUAUAAGACCCGAAGCCGGAGCGAGCUACCUAUGACCAGGAUGAAUUUCACCGAAAGGUGAAAGGAGGUCCGAACCCGUUAGUCGUGCAAUGCUAUGGGAUGAGUUGUGGGUAGAAGUGAAAAGCUAAUCGAGCCCGGUGAUAGCUGGUUCUCCCCGAAAUAGUUUUCGGACUAGCCUCGUUUUUAUAGAUGAUUGGGGGUAGAGCACUGGAUGGUUUUGCCUGGCGCAAGCUAGCAACACCAAUCAAACUCCGAAUACCGAUCAUUGUUGAACGGGAGUCAGACUGUGGGGGCUAAGCUUCAUAGUCAAAAGGAGAAGAGUCCUAAUCGCCAUUUAAGGUCCCAAAAUGCAAGCUAAGUGUACAAGGUUGUGAGAUUUCUCAAACAGCAAGGAGGUUGGCUUAGAAGCAGCCAUCCUUUAAAGAGUGCGUAACAGCUCACUUGUCGAGAGAUCUUGCGCCGGAAAUGUUCGGGGCUAAGCUUGCUACCGAAAAUGCGAAUGUGCGGACAUCACAUUGCAUGUGAUGUCGCGAGUUAAAAGUCCAAAGUUAAAAGUUUAAAGUGAAUUCAGAAAUGCAUUUACUUUUUACAUUUAACUUUUGGGAGCGUUUGUAUCUGCAGUGAAGGUCGACCCGCGAGGGCGGCUGGAGCGAUACGAAGUGAGAAUGUUGGCAUAAGUAACCGCAAGACAGGUUAAAUUCCUGUCCGCCGUAAACCUAAGGUUUCCUUGGCAAUGACAAUCAGCCAAGGGUUAGGCAACCCUAAGGCAAUCCCGAGAGGGGCAGCCGAUGGAUAGCCGGUUAAUAUUCCGGCCCUUUGUUAAUAUUUGAUGGGAGGUCGUAACACAGUAAGCUGAGCAUCUUAUUGGAUUGAUGUUCCUGGCUUAAGGAUGCUUUCUUGGCAAAUCCGGAAAGCUUUCGCAGCAAUGCGAAAAAUCUAAGAGCAGGGAAAAUUUUGGAGCAAUCUGAAAAAUUCAGCCGAGCGCGUUACCAAGAAAUUCUCUCUAAAAUUAGUAUUAACGAAUCUGUACCGUAAACCGACACAGGUAGGUGAGGCGAGUAGCCUCAGGCGAAUGGGUGAGUGAUCCUCAAGGAACUAGGCAAAAAAGCUACCCGUAAGUUUGCAAGAUGGGUUCCCUAUUGCCGUACCUCACUGCGUUUGGUAUGGAAUGUUUAAUUUUAGAUUUCUAAUUUUUUAAAAUUCAAAAAUUUUUAUUUUUGGUUUUGAAAUUUAAUCAUUGAGAUUUAUUUGGAAAUUAGAAAUUGAAAAUUGGAAAUUCCGUCCGAGCAUAGCGAGGUGCGGCGAUAGGGCGCAGCUAAAGAUAUCUGGGGACUGUUUAUCAAAAACACAACUCCCUGCUAACUCGCAAGAGGAUGUAUAGGGGGUGACGCUUGUCCAGUGCUGGAACGUUAACGGUCAAUGUCUUAGAAAUUCGUUUUUAAGGCUGCGGCCCGAAGCGCCAGUGAACGACCGCGGUAACUAUAAAAUCACGGGUUGUAGUUAUAAAAUUCAGCUAUAUGCGGGAACAUCUGGUUAAAGUAGUAAUACUCGCUUGCGUUUAUCGCCGCAAGAAGUAAAAAUUUACUACCAACUAUAAAAGGUGCCAGAAAAUCCGCAGGAAAGACUUUCAAGAAUUCCAAAAUCAUGGAACAAAAAUGGUUAAAAAGUAUUCCGCAAAAUAUAGGAUGGUAUUUGGCGGGAUUUGCAGACGGAGAAGGAAGUUUCAAUGUUUCUUUGACGAAACGGGAUAAUUAUCGCCAUGGUUGGCAGAUAACCCCAAGUUUUAAUGUAUCGCAAAGAGAUAAUACAGUUUUAUUUCUUCUUAAAAAGCAUUUAGAGUGCGGAAGAUUAAAACGAAGAAGAGAUGGUGUUUGGAUUUUUGUUAUAGAAAAUCCAAAAAUGAUAACUGAAAAAGUUUUGCCGUUUUUCGGCAAAUUUCAUCUAUUAUCUUCCAAAUCAAAAACAAAUUUUUCUAUUUUUUCUCAAAUAGUAGAUCUGAUUGGCAGAGGAGAACAUUUAACAGAUGAAGGACUGGAAAAAAUAAUGAGAUUAAGAGAAAGACUAAAUGAAGGCAAGGGAAGAAAAAGAAAAUAUAAUUUAAGCGAUGUAAUAAAUUCUUGAAAGAAUCCUCAGAGACUAUACGCUGGAUCCCGAAAAUAAAUCGGGAAUGAUAUAGUCCGAUCUCAUAAGUGAUUAUGAGUCAACAUAAAUGAACCGUGUUAAAGUAGCGAAAUUCCUUGUCGGGUAAGUUCCGACGCGCAUGAAAAGCGUAACUACCGGAUAACUGUCUCGAGGAUCAGCCCGGUGAAAUUGCAAGGCAGGUGAAGAUGCCUGCUUCCUGCACUUAGACGAAAAGACCCCGGAAGCUUCACUGCAACUUGUUAUUGUGUUUAGAUUUUUGCUGCGUAGUGUAGUGGGUAGACUUUGAAGUUGUGUUUUCGGACAUAAUGGAGUCAACAAUGAAACACCCAUCUUCAAAAAUUUAAAUUCUAACCUUUACGGAAAAAACGUAUUGGGACAGUGGCUGGUGGGCAGUUUUGGUGGGGCGCUAGCCUCCCAAAAGGUAACGGAGGCGUUCAUUAAGGUCAGCUAGGCACGGAUGGAAAUCGUGCUGGUAGUGUAAAGGCACAAGCUGGCUUAACUGCAAGACCUACAAGUCGCGCAGAUGCGAAAGCAGGACUUAGUGAACCGAUCAUUCUUUGUAGAACGGUGAGAGAUCAUCGGAUAAAAGCUACUCCGGGGAUAACAGGCUGGUUUGGUCCAAGAGUUCUUAUCGACGACCAAGUUCGGCACCUUAACACAUUGGGGUGCCAUAUCAGAAAUGAUAUUCAGCCGUUUUAAUAUAUGAAAAAUUUGAGCCAAUCAUAUAUUAAAAUUAAAAAAUGGCUUAUAACGGUGGACUCCAUGAUGGACAAUACCGUGGGAAGUCUAACGAAGUUUGAGCGACAAAUUAUUAUUGGAUCGUUAUUGGGAGAUGGGUAUAUGAGAAUUAUGCCCGGCAGAUCUAAUGCAUUUUUGGAAAUAAAUCAUUCCAUUGAGGCAAAGGAAUAUGUAGAUUAUAAAUACGAGUCCCUAAAAAGACUUUGUGAAUCUGCUCCAAAAGAACGAAAAACCAAUGAAGGUCGCGUUGCGUAUAGAUUCUUUACUAAACAACACAGUGAAUUAACUGAACUUUAUGAUCGAUUUUAUAAACAAGGGAAAAAAGUAAUUCCUUUGGAUAUUGUUGUUGAUCCAGUAAUUCUGGCUGUUUGGUAUAUGGAUGACGGAAGCAAAUCUCGCGAUAGAGACGUGUAUAUAAACACACAACAAUUCUCGAUUGCGGAUCAGAAUAGAUUGCUUUAUUGUUUACGCUUACUUGGCAUACAGGCAAGAUUAAACAAGGAUAAAAAAUAUUUCCGAAUACGCAUAUUGAAAGAUAGCAUCAAUAAUUUUAUGAGGAUAAUUUAUCCGCAUAUAGUUGAUUCUAUGAAAUAUAAACUUGUUAUGACCCCGUAGAGACUGAGUUUAUUUGUAAGCGAUUAUUAAUAAACCGAGCGUUUCAUAUACGAAAUGCUAACACGCCAUCUCCUCAUUCCAAAUUGAUUAUUGGAAAAGGAUGAAGAUAUAGUCCAUACCAUUAGUAAUAAUGGAUCAAAUAGCGAUGUCGGCUCUUCGCAUCCUGGGGGUGGAGAAGCUCCCAAGGGUUGGGCUGUUCGCCCAUUAAAGCGGAACGUGAGCUGGGUUCAGACCGUCGCGAGACAGGUUGGUCUCCUAUCUAGUGCAGGCGUUGAGACUUGAGGGAAGUCGUUCCUAGUAAAUUAUAUUGCUACCUUGCGGAGUGAUCCGCAUUGAAAAUUCGGCUAUAACGGUGAAACCUUCAUAAAUUAUUAUGUUCAUGCUAUACUAUAGAUGCUUGAGGACCAUAAUUUUUAAGGCAAUACCGUGGGAAGUCGAACAAAAAUUACUGCUAAUAAUAACUGGGCUUAUGUUGCCGGAUUUUUUGAUGGUGACGGAAGCUUAAUGGUGCAAUUUAAAAAUAGGAGAGAAUCUGUUUCAGGUUUUCGUCCUAUGAUCACCAUUUGUUUUUAUCAAGACAAAAGACAUUCUAAUCCGUUAAAAUGGUUUAGAAAGUUGUUUGGCAUCGGCUAUCUUUCCGAAAGGAAUGAUGGUAUGACAGAAUUGAGAAUAAACGGCUAUGAUUCUUGUGAAAAAAUUCUGAAAAAUAUGAAGCCGUUUAUAAAAUUCAAGAAAAAACAGGUUGAAUUGGCGUUAAAAAUAAUUUCCAAAUUGAAGAAAGUUUCUAAUAUAACUCCAAAAGUUAUUUUAGAAAUAGCAAAAAUAUCGGAUAAAAUAUCUCAAGAGAAUUACUCGUCAAAAACGAGGAAAUAUUCUUACGAGUAUUUUGAGAAAUUAUUUAAAAAGUGAUUUUUGUUCUGACCCCGUAUCGACUGAUUCCGAAAGGAUGAGAUCGGUUUUAAUUGCAAUAGGCAAUUAGCUGAUCACACGCCGACUCUUAUCAUAUUAUAAAAAAGCCAGGCCAUGAUUAAAUUCUACAGCCGGCGAUAAGAUGAAGAUAUAGUCAGAGCCUUUAGAAAUAAAGGAAAUACUCGACGAGAGGACCGGAACGAACAAAUCUCUGGUGUAUCAGUUGUCACGCCAGUGGCAUUGCUGAGUAGCUAUUGUUUGGAAGGGAUAAGCGCUGAAAGCAUCUAAGCACGAAGCCCAUCCCAAGAUUAGGUCUCGUUUUAGAUCCGUGGGAGAUUACCACGUUGAUAGGCUGCAGGUGUAAGCGCAGUAAUGCGUUCAGCCGAGCAGUACUAAUAGAUCAAAACUUCUAUUUU
rfam:Parcubacteria bacterium GW2011_GWC1_38_17 TS79_C0010, whole genome shotgun sequence.